AAGGAUCAUUACAGAGUUCAUGCCCUCACGGGUAGAUCUCCCACCCUUGAAUAUUAUACCUUAGUUGCUUUGGCAGGCCGGGGCAACCCCCGGGGCUUCGGCCUUGGUGUGCCUGCCAGAGGAAACAAACUCUGUUUUUAGUGAUGUCUGAGUACUAUAUAAUAGUUAAAACUUUCAACAACGGAUCUCUUGGUUCUGGCAUCGAUGAAGAACGCAGCGAAAUGCGAUAAGUAAUGUGAAUUGCAGAAUUCAGCGAAUCAUCGAAUCUUUGAACGCACAUUGCGCCCCGUGGUAUUCCGCGGGGCAUGCCUGUUCGAGCGUCAUUUCAACCCAUCAAGCUUCGGCUUGGUCUUGGGGCCUGCGAUUCCGCAGCCUCUAAACCCAGUGGCGGUGCCUCCGAGCUCUGAGCGUAGUAAUUCUUCUCGCUAUAGGGUCUCGGUGGUGUCUUGCCAGCAACCCCCAAUUUUUUACAGGUUGACCUCGGAUCAGGUAGGGAUACCCGCUGAACUUAAGCAUAUCAAUAAGCGGAGGAAAAGAAACCAACAGGGAUUACCUCAGUAACGGCGAGUGAAGCGGUAACAGCUCAAAUUUGAAAUCUGCCGCAAGGCCGAGUUGUAAUUUGUAGAAGAUGCUUUGGGUAUGGCCCCGGUCUAAGUUCGUUGGAACACGACGUCAUAGAGGGUGAGAAUCCCGUAUGUGACUGGGUGCUUUUGCCUAUGUAAAGCUCUUUCGACGAGUCGAGUUGUUUGGGAAUGCAGCUCAAAAUGGGUGGUAUAUUUCAUCUAAAGCUAAAUAUUGGCCAGAGACCGAUAGCGCACAAGUAGAGUGAUCGAAAGAUGAAAAGCACUUUGGAAAGAGAGUUAAACAGUACGUGAAAUUGUUGAAAGGGAAGCGCUUGCAACCAGACUUGCACGCUGUUGAUCAUCCAGGCUUCUGUCUGGUGCACUCGGCAGCGUUCAGGCCAGCAUCGGUUCUGGUGGUGGGAUAAAGGCCUUGGGAAUGUAGCUUCUUUCGGGGAGUGUUAUAGCCCUCGGUGCAAUGCCGCCUAUCGGGACCGAGGACCGCGCUUCGGCUAGGAUGCUGGCGUAAUGGUUGUAAGCGACC
rnacentral:rRNA from 1 species